GACGAACGCUGGCGGCGUGCUUAACACAUGCCAGUCGAACGGACAGGCCCUGCUGUUGUGGGGUGCUCGAGUGGCGAACGGGUGAGUAACACGUGAGUAACCUGCCCUUGACUUUGGGAUAACUUCAGGAAACUGGGGCUAAUACCGGAUAGGAGCUCCUGCUGCAUUGAGGGGGUUGGAAAGUUUCGGCGGUUGGGUAUGGACUCGCGGCUUGUCAGCUUGUCGAUGGGGUAGUGUCUUACCAGGGCUUUGAGGGGUAGCCGGGCUGCGCGGGUGGGCGGCCACGUUGGGACGGGGAUGCGACCCGGACCCCUACCGGAGGCAGGGGUGGGGAAUAGUGCAUUAUGGGCGGAAGCCAGAUGUAGCAACGCCGCGUCCGGGGUGACGGCCUUCGGUUUGUGUUCCGAUUCUGCCUGGGACGAAGCGUGGGUGACGGUAAUGGGUUAAGAAGCACCGGCUAACUACGUG
rnacentral:rRNA from 1 species